rnacentral:lncRNA from 1 species
UCGGAUUUAGGAUUAUUUUAUAGAAGUAAAUGCAUCAUUUUGUUUAGAGGGUAAAAUGUUCAGUUCAACACUUCACCCUUAAGGGCUACUUUCGUUUUGUUCUUUCCUAUGGUCUGCUCUUGGGGAGGCCAACUGCCAUGUUGUGAGUAAGCUUAGUAGUGAAUCAGGGAGUUCCUGUCGUAGUGCAGAAGUAACAAAUCUGACUAGGAACCAUGAAGUUGUGGGUUUGAUCCCUGGCCUAUCUCAGUGGGUUAAGGAUCUGGUGUUGCCCUGAGUUGUGGUGUAGAUAGCAGAUAUGGCUCAGAUCUUGUGUUGCUGUGGCUGUGGUGUAGGUUGGCAGCUGCAGCUCUGAUUCCACCCCUAGCCUGGGAAUCUCCAUAUGCCUCGGGUAUGGCCCUAAAAAGCAAAAAAAACAAAAGAAGUGAGUCUGAGAACCUGCCACAGCCACAUUUGAGCCUUGAGAUAACUGCAGACCUGGCCAGCACCUUGAUUACAAUCUUGUCUAAGACCCUGAACUGGAACCACCCAGCUAAGACACUUAGGAUUACUGACCCACACAAUAUAUGAUUGAAUAAAUGUUUGUUGCCUCAAGCCACUUUGGUGGUUUUAUUGUAAUUUGUUACAUAGAAAUAGAUAACUAGUAGACCUCCCAUUUCUUUUUAAACAAUUUCAAAUAAUAAUUUUAAAAAAUCACAAGUCAUAGGGCAAUGUAUGGGAAAAAGAGAAUGUGACUAUACCAAGUAUGGUUAAAACAAAAUUAUGGUCAAAUUUCAAUUGCAUUUAGGAAGAAAAAUCAAAGGUACUCAUCUUCUAAGAGUAGGUGAUAAGAACCCUGGCUACCUAUUCCUGUAAGCAAAUAAAGAAGAUACAAAGGUGGGAAGUAGAGAAGAUGAAAGGAGUUAAGUGUUUCCUCUAUGACCCUUCAGACACUGCUCUACACAUGAACAAAAUCCAUGGUGCAGGCCUCAUCUUCACAGUCCCUCAUCUCACUGAGCCCUAUCACAGAAGUGUCUCACCUACUUGCAGAUUGCUGAUAGACAUGUGUUCCACAGCUGAGCUUCAAGUGCAUGGCAAUGCUCUGUAUUCUAAUCUGUCUCGUCUUUAUGUGUAUUUAGCUUGGAAAUUGUGGUUUUAAUUGGACUGAAAAACCAAAAUGUCUCUGAAGGAUUUUUUUUUUUUUUUGAAAAUCCACAUAAGAAAUGCUAUACUCUAUCAAAUCCUUUGGGGAAAAUCCUCAAGAGAAUUACAUUUCCUGCAAUGUGCUUUAUCUCUUUCACAAUAUAAAAGAUGGGGCUUUUCCUUCUGGAGUGUUUUAAGAUCUCUGACAUCUAGUUUAGAAAGUGAUGAACGUGCAACUUCAGUAAUAUCUUGCUUUAGUCGCAGGAAACAUCAAUUGACGCAGCUAUGCCUUUGAUGUUCCUACUAGUGCACUCUAUCAUAGCCACAUUUUUUCUGUUAAAAUUUGGAUUUGGUCCUGUCACUUGACUUGUGGAGAAUGGGUUAUCUUGUUUCAAAAAUAUCUUUGCCAACUAUCCGUCAUCAUUAGUGGAAACAUCUUUUUUUCUUCCUGCCUCAUCCUGUCUAAUAAUUCAAUAAGCAUACUUUCUCAAUCACAUCUUUGUGGUCUUUUCUCUGCUUAUUCUGCUUUGCUCCAAUCUUUCAUUUCAGGGUAGCUGCUCCCAAUUCUGGUGACUUUUGAAAAACUAACAUAAAGCUUCCUUCCCUCUCUGCUUUCAUUCUCUGCACUUAGCAAAUCAGGAAUCCUUAAGCCCAAAAUAGACACUUUUAUUUCCAUUUGUAGAAGGCCAUCCCUGAAUACCUAAAGAUGUGUGAUUAUAAAUGAAAAGUAUUUGGAGAAAUGUUCAUUAGCCAUUUGUUCUCAAAAGGCAAUAGAGCAUACUACUCAAGAACUUAGGCUUUGACAAGGAGGACGUGUGUUUUCACUCCAGUUAUGCUAUUUAAUUGUUGUGGCUUUCAGGAAAGUUUUGAAUACUUUCUGGAUAUCAGAUUCCUUACAUAUUAAAUGAUAUUUACCUAGGAUAUUGCUUUGAGUUUUAAAAACAAUAAUGUAUGUUAACUACUUUUAUAAAAGUCUGGAAUAUAAUAAAUGCUCAAUAAGUUAUAAACCCUACCUCCCCCCAAAAAAGUUGGUUUUCUGACUAGCCUAUAAUAAUAUAGGCUUUUAUGCUGUAAAAAGGUAGACAUUUUCUCCACCAUGAAAAUACAAGGAAUUCAGCCUGCAGGAUAAUCAUAUUUAAGGAAUUAUAUAGCCCUUUUCACAACAUUUACUAUAGGUAUUUGUGGAUACACACUAGACUGAUGAAUAAUGUAAUAACUGGGCUCCAUUAUCAAGAAAUGCAGAGUUCCCAGCGUGGCUGAGCUAUUAAUGAACCCAACUAGUAUCCAUGAGGACACAGGUUCAAUCCCUGGCCUGCCUUAGUGGGUUAAGGAUCCGGCGUUGCCAUCAGCUGUGGUAUAGGUUGCAGAUGCAGCUUGGAUGCCACUUUGCUGUUGUGCAGGCCAGCAGCUGCAGCUCUGAUUAGACCCCUAGCCUGGGAAGCUCCACAUGCUGUGAGUGUGGCCCUAAAAAGACAAAAAAAAAAAAAAAAA